rnacentral:misc_RNA from 1 species
GGAAGAAAGUAAUUUGGAAGACUUUAGUGGAGAUGGCAGCCCUGAGUCAGGGGAUUAUGUUGAAGCUGAGAUGGGAGUGUCAGAUAAUGCUGACAUUCAGUGCGAAGUUGGUCCGGUAUUGGAAGUGAUACAUGAGACGGAGGAGACGGAUGGGAUCGAUGAAGCUGAAGAGAUGUGCCAUGGGCCUGAAUUGGCUGCUGCCACGAGUUUGGAAGAGGUGGAGAAGGCUGAUCAAAUUGAAUUGGCAAAAGAUAAGCUGGUUGAACCUGAGUUGGUUAUUGAGGGACCAGUUGCUCGGGCUACUGAUGUUUCUGAUGUGGAGGAGCCUUUGAACUUUGAUUUCUACAAUUCUGCAGCGGAAUUGGAGGUUAUUGGGUUGGAGAGGCU